rnacentral:rRNA from 1 species
UACGGAGGAUGCGAGCGUUAUCCGGAUUUAUUGGGUUUAAAGGGUGCGUAGGCGGGAUGCCAAGUUAGCGGUCAAAUACGGGGGCUCAACCUGCGUCCGCCGUUGAAACUGGCGUUCUUGAGUGGGCGAGAAGUACGCGGAAUGCGUGGUGUAGCGGUGAAAUGCAUAGAUAUCACGCAGAACCCCGAUUGCGAAGGCAGCGUACCGGCGCCCGACUGACGCUGAAGCACGAAAGCGUGGGUAUCGAACAGG